AAAACGGCCCUUUUCAGGGCCACUAAAUCGUUUGACUUCGAAUGUU
rnacentral:ncRNA from 1 species